rnacentral:lncRNA from 1 species
GAAGUUUUGGUGGGGAAGCUGUGUUGUACCAGGACUCUUGCAGUACUGAAGCAAGCAGUGGGUUCUACCUGAACAGGAGCAGGAGGUGCCAGUCCUGGCUUCCACCACGGGCUUCCAGAAAAGGUGGUGGGAAAAUACACCCAGCAUUGUUUACUCACAAAGAAAAGCAGAAAUGAAGGGGCAGAGGAUGUUGGGCUGCUGCUGUGAGAGGUACAGAUGGUCCUGGGAACAAAAGGAGCUGAGUAAACAAACUCUGUUCUGGUGGAUGGAGGAACAGAGAGAGGAACUCUCCUGCUGACAGCAGGCGGCUGGCACAAAGAGCACAGAAAAUCCAACUCUCCUCUCCCAGACUCCCAUAAAAAGAAUAGAGGGCGAUGCGGCCGCUGGAACGGCGCUCUGAAGUGUGUAGUGCCGUGGAGAUAAAAUAACGGUACUUCAUUCAUAUUAUCUGAGCAGAGGAGUUGUGAGGAGCAGUGCUGGGUUGGCUCGUGCUCUGCUUGGCUCCUGCACAUCACUGCUUCCCUGGGCUCGUGGCAAAUGGAGACACUGAGACGCUGUGGUUUAAGGCGCAAACAAAUAAAAUAUCAUUUCGCUAUAUAAAUAAAAUCA